UGACGCGAAGUUGCAGAAUGCCUGUCCAUUCCGACGAAGGCGAAGAGAAUUCAUUGCCAUUCAACGGUUUCAUAAGAAUCAAUAAUCACUCUCGCCGGGAAUUUUCCCGCCAAAUUCCUUAUCGAUCACAAGCAAUUCCUAUGACUGGCCCUGCGCCCUUGGAUGACCUUGGGAUCAAAACAAGACACGUUUUUUGACUGGACGGCCAAAGAUAGACAAAGUCAAAGAACCAAUCAAAUUUCAUUAAGUUACUACGCAGUACCACAAAGACCACGGCAGAUCGCUAAACGCAGCUUUAUUUCGCCUUUUUACUUAAAGAUAGUUACAAAUGUCUCUGAGAUCCUUUAAAGGAGUAAAGAUCGUGUUGGAUGUGGAUUCUCAACCACGGUCCUUACAAGAUGCACAGGUGGGAAGGAUAAGCUCUUUGGCGACAACAUCCGCAUAAAAUCCAAUCUGGAAAAACAGAUUUACGUUUUACUCUGCCCAUAUCUGUAAGCUGUCCUUACAAAUGGUUCACUGUCUUAAAAAACCCUACAUGUCAGUAUCGAAUUUCUCGUGAGCAUAUGUGUGUUUCAAGAGACAGAAUUUGUUUCCGCUCACAAACAUACGUGUUGGUUGCAUGUAUACAUGUCUCUUUCUUUAGUUGUAUUCAACCUGAAAGUACCAUCAGGGAAAUGAUCAAUCAGCAUUACUGAUUAUCACUAUUGCGAUAUCAUAGUAAUACUAUUUAAUAUGUAACAAGUCAUCCCAGGGAUUCGGUACCCGUCCUGCAAUUUAAAUAUUUCUAAUUGGAGACUACACAAUCAUUAAAUUUAAUGCUUCUCUUUAUUUCAUUGAAGAGACUGUUUUAGAUUUUAUACUCCCACAAAGCAUGGUUUCAGGUUCAGACUAUAUAUUUUUUCAAUCAAAAAAGCUAUAGCAA